rnacentral:rRNA from 1 species
GUGAACGCUGGCGGUAGGCCUAACACCUGCAAGUCGAACGGCAGCACAGUAAGAGCUUGCUCUUACGGGUGGCGAGUGGCGGACGGGUGAGGAAUACAUCGGAAUCUACUUUUUCGUGGGGGAUAACGUAGGGAAACUUACGCUAAUACCGCAUACGACCUACGGGUGAAAGCAGGGGAUCUUCGGACCUUGCGCGAUUGAAUGAGCCGAUGUCGGAUUAGCUAGUUGGCGGGGUAAAGGCCCACCAAGGCGACGAUCCGUAGCUGGUCUGAGAGGAUGAUCAGCCACACUGGAACUGAGACACGGUCCAGACUCCUACGGGAGGCAGCAGUGGGGAAUGUUGGACAAUGGGCGCAAGCCUGAUCCAGCCAUACCGCGUGGGUGAAGAAGGCCUUCGGGUUGUAAAGCCCUUUUGUUGGGAAAGAAAAGCAGCAGGUUAAUACCCCGCUGUUCUGACGGUACCCAAAGAAUAAGCACCGGCUAACUUCGUG